CCUUGGGCACAUCUGUUCAGGCUGUAUGGGAUGUGGACAUUAGUAGAAUAGGUCUAAUCUGUGUCUCCCCAAAAGGAGGCAAAUACCUGGGAGCAACUACAAAAGCCAAUCUCUGUUCUUCUUGUGUGAAGAUUUAUCCCAACCACUUUACAUUUGAUGACGACGACAAGAGGCUCCUGUGCCGCUUGAGUCUAAUUGGAUGCUGACACCAUGGUUCUGUUUAUAAAGAAGAGGGUGAAAGGUACAAGAAGCCACCACUUGCCCAGGAAGACCUACUUUCCUGAUCAGUCUUUCGUCUCAAUGAAGAAAAGAACCGUUAACAACCUACAAUGCUUUUAUUAAAUUGCAAUAAAU